rnacentral:rRNA from 1 species
UUGUCGAAACCUGCAAAGCAGAAAUUACCUGUGAACAAGUUGUAAGAUUUUAGGGGAUGUGUUUGGCCUUGUCAUAUCUCUUCCCCAUGGGGGGAUAGUGCGGAUGGGAGCGGUGGAUCUGAUCCAACCUCUUUUGCGCGUUGUCCUCCUAACAACAAACCCCGGCGUAUCAUACGCCAAGGAAUCAAAGAUUAAAAGAAGGUAACAAGUGCCCUAGCGACCCGGGUACGGAAUUCGCGAAGGUUGCUUGUUUCCUUGUUUAAGAACUAAAUGACUCUCGGCAACGGAUAUCUUGGCUCUCGCAUCGAUGAAGAACGUAGCGAAAUGCGAUACUUGGUGUGAAUUGCAGAAUCCCGUGAACCAUCGAGUUUUUGAACGCAAGUUGCGCCCGAAGCCUUCGGGCCGAGGGCACGUCUGCCUGGGUGUCAUGUAUUGUUGCCCCAUCCACAACUCCCAUCGUGGGAGUAUCCGAUAAGGGGCGGAAAAUGGUCUCCCGUGUGCUCCCGCUUGCGGUUGGCCAAAAUUUGAGUCGUUGGUGAUAGUGCCACGAUAAUCGGUGGUUGAAAUACCUUCGGAAAUUGUCGUGGCAAAACCAAUAAAAGGCUUUUCAGACCCAAUGCACUCCCAACAGCGACCCCAGGUCAGGCGGGAUUACCCGCUGAG